rnacentral:lncRNA from 1 species
GUCAGACUUGGGCAGGAAGAGACAGGUUUCUUGUAUUUGGGAAAUGAUAGGAGGGCUCUAUUGCAUAGUAAGAAAACUGACCUCAGAGAGUGACCAGAACAGAGAAGUAAGCCCAGGGCCUCCUCUCUGAACACUUGUAGAAUCAAGAUGGUGGCAAAGGUGAUGGUAGUGACGACAAUGAUGAUGGCUGAUGCCCAGUGUCGAACUACUGUUAUGGAACAAGGCUUUGUGUAAUAUAAUUGCUAAUUAUUAAUUAAAUUGUGUUCGUUGCAUGCAUGGUUGUCUCACUUAUGCUUUAUACAACAGCCUUGCAAAAUUCCUAUGAGGAAAAGUCGAGCCUGGGUGGGUUUCACAAUUUGCCCUACAUCUUAUAACCAGGGCAGCAGUUAAGACUACCGGCCUCACUGUCAGUGUUCUCCUAGAAGCAGUUCUAGUCUUUCUUGUGAGAUGAGAUGCUUUAUCUUCUACCAUCAAAGUCAACUCAUGUAGGGUUUGAAUUCUAAGUACUGUCAUUAUCAAAAAAUAAUGGCCACAGUUAUCUUGUUGUUCUCAUCCAGUCUUCAGUGGCUUUCAGUCUGAUACUGAUUGCCAUUGUAGUCCCAUGAACCGUGUUGCUUUCCUAGGUAAUGAUACAGCAAAACUGUCAGCUUAUACUUUGCUAACUUCAUGUAAGGAAAGUGGAGACCACAGGAAGCACUGUGGGCAGAGUGGUGGUUUGGGGCUUUGUUUUGUUUGCUUUUUCUUCUUUUUUUUUUUAGACAAAGUUUUUCUUUUUUUUUGUUUUUGUUUUUUUGUUUGUUUGUUUUUGUAGUCUAAGCCAGCCUCAAAGUCCUAACACAGCUUCUGUCUUAGCCCCUAGGUUACUGGGAUCAUUAAGUGUGCACCACCAUAUCUAGUUUAUGGUCUUGAACUUGAAUUUUCACCCUCAACCUGAACGUCGUAACAAAGCCAUCUCCACAGAAACCCAGCCGAGGAGCAAGCAGAGAUGGCUCCUUGCAGAGCCGUGUAAGAUCUGUGCCACUGUUCUCUGGAUGGCUGAAGACACAGCUGCAUUUCCAUUUCAACAGGAAGUGAAGCAAGAUCACCUGUACUUCUGAAAAAUGCCAAGGAAACUUGCACAAGCUGCCGUAUGAACCCCAAAGAAGCCAGAAAGAGUGAGCGGAGAAUAGAAAAAAGAGACCGUUAUUAGACACUUUUGAUGUGGAUAUAUGUACAAUAUGCAUGGACUGAUGCCUUCUCAACAAUUUUAUGACAAAUUAAGUGACACCAUGAGGCCUCAUUUCACAGGUAAGAAAACUAGAUUUGGAAAAGACUGAGUGUUGUGCUCAAGGACACAAAAAAAUAAUUAAUAAAAACCAUUUAAG